rnacentral:rRNA from 1 species
GAUGAACGCUGGCGGCGUGCCUAAUACAUGCAAGUCGAGCGAACAGACGAGGAGCUUGCUCCUCUGACGUUAGCGGCGGACGGGUGAGUAACACGUGUAUAACCUACCUAUAAGACUGGGAUAACUUCGGGAAACCGGAGCUAAUACCGGAUAAUAUAUUGAACCGCAUGGUUCAAUAGUGAAAGACGGUUUUGCUGUCACGUAUAGAUGGAUCCGCGCCGCAUUAGCUAGUUGGUAAGGUAACGGCUUACCAAGGCAACGAUGCGUAGCCGACCUGAGAGGGUGAUCGGCCACACUGGAGCGGAGACACGGUCCAGACUCCUACGGGAGGCAGCAGUAGGGAAUCUUCCGCAAUGGGCGAAAGCUUGACGGAGCAACGCCGCGUGAGUGAUGAAGGUCUUCGGAUCGUAAAACUCUGUUAUUAGGGAAGAACAAAUGUGUAAGUAACUAUGCACGUCUUGACGGUACCUAAUCAGAAAGCCACGGCUAACUACGUG